rnacentral:rRNA from 1 species
AAGUGAGCUGGUGCUGGGGUUGAAUAGAACUCUGAAGUUAAGCGUGCUUGGGCUGGAGUAGUGUGAGGAUGGGUGACCUUUCGAGAAGUUUUAGUAUCUCGUAUA